CGUCGGUAAGGUGAUAUGAACCGUUACAGCCGGCGAUGUCCGAAUGGGGAAACCCAGUGUGAUUCGUCACACUAUCGUUAACUGAAUACAUAGGUUAACGAGGCGAACCGGGGGAACUGAAACAUCUAAGUACCCCGAGGAAAAGAAAUCAACCGAGAUUCCCCCAGUAGCGGCGAGCGAACGGGGAGGAGCCCAGAGCCUGAAUCAGCUUGUGUGUUAGUGGAAGCGUCUGGAAAGUCGCACGGUACAGGGUGAAAGUCCCGUACACGAAAAUGCACAGGCUGUGAGCUCGAUGAGUAGGGCGGGACACGUGGUAUCCUGUCUGAAUAUGGGGGGACCAUCCUCCAAGGCUAAAUACUCCUGACUGACCGAUAGUGAACCAGUACCGUGAGGGAAAGGCGAAAAGAACCCCGGCGAGGGGAGUGAAAAAGAACCUGAAACCGUGUACGUACAAGCAGUGGGAGCCUCUUUAUGGGGUGACUGCGUACCUUUUGUAUAAUGGGUCAGCGACUUAUAUUCUGUAGCAAGGUUAACCGUAUAGGGGAGCCGAAGGGAAACCGAGUCUUAACUGGGCGUUAAGUUGCAGGGUAUAGACCCGAAACCCGGUGAUCUAGCCAUGGGCAGGUUGAAGGUUGGGUAACACUAACUGGAGGACCGAACCGACUAAUGUUGAAAAAUUAGCGGAUGACCUGUGGCUGGGGGUGAAAGGCCAAUCAAACCGGGAGAUAGCUGGUUCUCCCCGAAAGCUAUUUAGGUAGCGCCUCGUGAAUUCAUCUCCGGGGGUAGAGCACUGUUUCGGCUAGGGGGCCAUCCCGGCUUACCAACCCGAUGCAAACUGCGAAUACCGGAGAAUGUUAUCACGGGAGACACACGGCGGGUGCUAACGUCCGUCGUGAAGAGGGAAACAACCCAGACCGCCAGCUAAGGUCCCAAAGUCAUGGUUAAGUGGGAAACGAUGUGGGAAGGCCCAGACAGCCAGGAUGUUGGCUUAGAAGCAGCCAUCAUUUAAAGAAAGCGUAAUAGCUCACUGGUCGAGUCGGCCUGCGCGGAAGAUGUAACGGGGCUAAACCAUGCACCGAAGCUGCGGCAGCGACACUAUGUGUUGUUGGGUAGGGGAGCGUUCUGUAAGCCGUUGAAGGUGGCCUGUGAGGGUUGCUGGAGGUAUCAGAAGUGCGAAUGCUGACAUAAGUAACGAUAAAGCGGGUGAAAAGCCCGCUCGCCGGAAGACCAAGGGUUCCUGUCCAACGUUAAUCGGGGCAGGGUGAGUCGACCCCUAAGGCGAGGCCGAAAGGCGUAGUCGAUGGGAAACAGGUUAAUAUUCCUGUACUUGGUGUUACUGCGAAGGGGGGACGGAGAAGGCUAUGUCGGCCGGGCGACGGUUGUCCCGGUUUAAGCGUGUAGGUGUGUGCUCCAGGCAAAUCCGGUGCACUUUAACACUGAGGCGUGAUGACGAGGCACUACGGUGCUGAAGUGACAAAUGCCCUGCUUCCAGGAAAAGCCUCUAAGCAUCAGGUAACACGAAAUCGUACCCCAAACCGACACAGGUGGUCAGGUAGAGAAUACCAAGGCGCUUGAGAGAACUCGGGUGAAGGAACUAGGCAAAAUGGUGCCGUAACUUCGGGAGAAGGCACGCUGAUAUGUAGGUGAAGCCCCUGCGGGUGGAGCUGAAAUCAGUCGAAGAUACCAGCUGGCUGCAACUGUUUAUUAAAAACACAGCACUGUGCAAACACGAAAGUGGACGUAUACGGUGUGACGCCUGCCCGGUGCCGGAAGGUUAAUUGAUGGGGUUAUCCGUAAGGAGAAGCUCUUGAUCGAAGCCCCGGUAAACGGCGGCCGUAACUAUAACGGUCCUAAGGUAGCGAAAUUCCUUGUCGGGUAAGUUCCGACCUGCACGAAUGGCGUAAUGAUGGCCAGGCUGUCUCCACCCGAGACUCAGUGAAAUUGAACUCGCUGUGAAGAUGCAGUGUACCCGCGGCAAGACGGAAAGACCCCGUGAACCUUUACUAUAGCUUGACACUGAACA
rnacentral:rRNA from 1 species